rnacentral:rRNA from 1 species
UAAGGAAUAUUGCUCAAUGGGAGAAAUCCUGAAGCAGCAACGCCGCGUGGAGGAUGAAGGGUUUUUAACUUGUAAACUCCUGUAAAGAAGGAAAAAAUUCCCAUUAGAUGGGAAAUGAUGGUACUUCUGGAGUAAGCCCCGGCUAACUACGUGCCAGCAGCCGCGGUAACACGUAGGGGGCAAGCGUUGUCCGGAUUUACUGGGUGUAAAGGGUGCUCAGGCGGAUUUGUAAGUCAGAGGUGAAAUCUCACAGCUUAACUGUGAAACUGCCUUUGAUACUGCAAGCCUAGAGUAUGGAAGAGAGUGAUGGAAUAUCUGGUGUAGCAGUGAAAUGCGUAGAUAUCAGAUAGAACACCAAUGGCGAAGGCAGUCACUUGGUCCAUAACUGACGCUAAAGCACGAAAGCGUGGGUAGCAAACAGGAUUAGAUACCCUGGUAGUCCACGCCCUAAACGAUGAAUACUAGAUGUUGGCUUCGCAUGAAGUCAGUAUCUGAGCUAACGCAUUAAGUAUUCCACCUGGAAGUACGAUCGCAAGGUUGAAACUCAAAUGAAUUGACGGGGUCAUAGCUGUUUCCUG